CCUACGGGUGACAGCAGUGGGGAAUAUUGCUCAAUGGGGGAAACCCUGAAGCAGCAACGCCGCGUGGGGGAUGAAGGUUUUCGGAUUGUAAACCUCUUUUGGUAGAGAAGAUAAUGACGGUACCUGACGAAUAAGCACCGGCUAACUACGUGCCAGCAGCCGCGGUAAUACGGAGGGUGCAAGCGUUACGCGGAAUGACUGGGCGUAAAGGGCGCGUAGACGGGAUGGCAAGUCAGAUGUGAAAUCCUAUGGCUUAACCAUAGAACUGCAUUUGAAACUGUUAGUCUAGAGUUUGGGAGAGGUAGGCGGAAUUCGUGGUGUAGCGGUGAAAUGCGUAGAGAUCAAGAGGAACACUCAUGGCGAAGGCGACUUGCUAGAACGUAACUGACGUUGAUGCGCGAAAGCGUGGGGAGCAAACAGGAUUAGAUACCCCAGUAGUC
rnacentral:rRNA from 1 species